rnacentral:tRNA from 1 species
UCCACAGUAGCUCAGUGGUAGAGCAAUCGGCUGUUAACCGAUCCGUCGCAGGUUCGAGUCCUGCCUGUGGAGCCA